rnacentral:misc_RNA from 1 species
UACGGAGGAUCCAAGCGUUAUCCGGAAUCAUUGGGUUUAAAGGGUGCGUAGGCGGCUUAUUAAGUCAGUGGUGAAAGCCAGCAGCUCAACUGUUGAACUGCCAUUGAUGCUGAUAGGCUUGAGUACAGACGAGGUAGGCGGAAUUGAUGGUGUAGCGGUGAAAUGCAUAGAUACCAUCAAGAACACCGAUUGCGAAGGCAGCUUACUAGGCUGUAACUGACGCCGAGGCACGAAAGCGUGGGGAGCGAACAGG